GGAUCAAAGCAUUCCUUGGAAGCUGAAGAAAUUGAGUGAGAACUCUAUACCGUCUCACCUCAUCAAGCUGAGGUCC
rnacentral:snoRNA from 1 species